GCCACUUUAGCUCAGCUGGUAGAGCAACUGACUUGUAAUCAGUAGGUCGUCCGUUCGAUUCGGACAAGUGGCUCCA
rnacentral:tRNA from 2 species